CUCCAGCAAGGAGCUCGCACCUCAACGUGGUGCUGGAGUCUAGUAGCCAUAUGGCGAAGCCAAGACGAGC
rnacentral:ribozyme from 2 species